rnacentral:rRNA from 1 species
CCUACGGGAGGCUGCAGUGGGGGAUAUUGCACAAUGGGGGAAACCCUGAUGCAGCGACGCCGCGUGUGGGAAGACGGUCUUCUGGAUUGUAAACCACUGUCCUCAGGGACGAAAAUGACGGUACCUGGGGAUGAAGCUCCGGCUAACUACGUGCCAGCAGCCGCGGUAAUACGUAGGGUGCAAGCGUUGUCCGGAAUUACGGGGUGAAACGGGAGCGUAGGCGGGGGUGAAAGUUGGGUGUCAAAACUAUCGGCUCAACGGAUAGUCGCACUCGAAACUGCAGCUCUUGAGUGAAGUAGAGGUAGGCGGAAUUCCUGGUGUAGCGGUGAAAUGCGUAGAUAUUAGGAGGAACACCAGUGGCGAAGGCGGACUGCUGGGCUUUUACUGACGCUGAGGCUCGAAAGUGUGGGGAGCAAACAGGAUUAGAUACCCUUGUAGUC